rnacentral:rRNA from 1 species
GGCGCUUCCUAAUCAUGCAAGUCGAGCGGACAGAUGGGAGCUUGCUCCCUGAUGUCAGCGGCGGACGGGUGAGUAACACGUGGGUAACCUGCCUGUAAGACUGGGAUAACUCCGGGAAACCGGGGCUAAUACCGGAUGCUUGAUUGAACCGCAUGGUUCAAUUAUAAAAGGUGGCUUUUACCUACCACUUACAAAUGGACCCCCGCCGCAUUACCUAGUUGGUGAGGUAACGCCUCACCAAGGCAACAAUCCUUAGCCAACCUGAAAGGGUGAUCGGCCACACUGGGACUAAAACACGGCCCAAACUCCUACGGAAGGCACCAUUAGGGAAUCUUCCCCAUUGAACAAAAUUCUAACGAACCACCCCCCCUUGAUUGAUGAAGGUUUUCGAAUCUUAAAACUCUGUUGUUAGGAAAAAACAAUUACCGUUCAAAUAGGGCGGUACCUUGACGGUCCCUAACCAGAAACCCCCGGCUAACUACUUGCCACCACCCCCGUUAAUACUUAGGUGGCAAGCUUGGUCCGGAAUUAUUGGCCUUAAACCCCGCCCAGGCGGUUUCUUAAUUCUAAUUUAAAACCCCCCGGCUCAACCGGGAAGGGUCAUUGAAAACUGGGGAACUUAAUUGCAAAAAAGGAAAGUGAAUUUCCCCUUGUACCGUUAAAAUCCUUAAAAUUGUGAAGAACCCCCAUUGGCAAAGGCAAUUCUCUGUCCUGUAACUAACCCUAAGCCACAAAACCUUGGGGAGCUACCAGAAUUAAAUACCCUGCUGCCCACCGCCGUAACCAAUAAAUCCUACUUGUUAAAGGGUUCCCCCCCUUACUGCCGGCAGCCAACCCCAUUUGCAAUUCCCCCUUGGCGAGUACA